UUGGAGGGCAAGUCUGGUGCCAGCAGCCGCGGUAAUUCCAGCUCCAAUAGCGUAUAUUAAAGUUGUUGCAGUUAAAAAGCUCGUAGUUGAAUUUCGGGAUCAGUACGCUGGUCGUGCCUUCGGUAUGCACUGGUGUCACUGGUUCCUACCUUCUGAAGAACCGUCAUGCCAUUCAGUUGGUGUGGCGGGGAAUCAGGACUGUUACUUUGAAAAAUUAGAGUGUUUAAAGCAGGCUCGCGCUUGAAUACAUUAGCAUGGAAUAAUGAAAUAGGACGUUUGACCCUAUUUUGUUGGUUUCUAGGAUCGACGUAAUGAUUAAUAGGGAUAGUUGGGGGCAUUAGUAUUCAAUUGUCAGAGGUGAAAUUCUUGGAUUUAUUGAAGACUAACUACUGCGAAAGCAUUUGCCAAGGAUGUUUUCAUUAAUCAAGAACGAAAGUUAGGGGAUCGAAGACGAUCAGAUACCGUCGUAGUCUUAACCAUAAACUAUGCCGACUAGGGAUCGGAUGAUGUUAAUUUUUAAUGACUCAUUC
rnacentral:rRNA from 1 species